rnacentral:misc_RNA from 1 species
ACAAACUUGGUCAUUUAGAGGAAGUAAAAGUCGUAACAAGGUUUCCGUAGGUGAACCUGCGGAAGGAUCAUUACCGAAUGACCUGCACCUCGCCUUGUGCGUGGUUGCUCAUUGGCGCCUCUUGAUCUUGAUCUUGGUGCUUCAUCACUCUGCACUACACACUAACAAGUGGGUGGACUUGCUUGGGAUGGGGUGCCCUGGUCAAGAUGUCCUAUCCUACACACAAACCUGUCAUCGUAUGGUGUUGAACUUUGAACAUAUAAUAUAACUUUCAACAACGGAUCUCUUGGCUCUCGCAUCGAUGAAGAACGCAGC